rnacentral:miRNA from 1 species
CUCAAGAAACCACUUUCUUUGCUCAUCCACAAG